rnacentral:rRNA from 1 species
GGCCAGCAUGGGGGCGAGGGGAAGGAAAAAAGAAAAGGAAAUGUAACUCUGGAGUAUUAUAGACCUCUUCCAAAACUUCCAUCUAAUCGNAGGCUGCGGAUUAUCCUAGGAUGCUGGCAGUAAU